UUCUCAGGUCAUGUUUAAUCACUGAGGGA
rnacentral:piRNA from 1 species